AUGAUCUUGUCUGCUUCCACCUACAACACAGACUUUCUGGCAAAGGCUCUGGCCCUGUUGGGAAAACCCGAAGUUUGCCAAAGACUGAGUGGAUGGAGUGUCACUCUUUUUGCCCAUGCUGGAGUGCAAUGGCACAAUCUUGGCUCAUUGCAAGCGCCACCUCCUGGGUUCAAGCAAUUCUCCUGCCUUAGCCUCCCAAGUUGAUGGGAUUACAGGUGACUGCCACGAUGCCUGCCUAAUUUUUGUAUUUUUAGUAGAGAUAGGGUUUUACCACAUUGGCCAAAUGAUCUGAUCUCAGGUGAUCCACCCACCUUGGCCUCCCAAAGUCCUGGUAUUAUACCAUGCCUGGCUUAAAGCUGUUUUUAUUUUGAAAGAUCACUAAAGUUAUAUAAACUAAAAGGCAUUACAGUUUUUAUUUUGCUUUCAAAAUAUUUAGGUGCUUAUUUUUGCUUAAGCCAAUUAAUCAGAGCUCUUUUAUAUGAACGUUACACACAAGGCAUAUAUAAUUAGACAGACAGAACAAGAUUACUAUAGCAGUUGUAAGAUUUUUUAUUUACCAGUUUUUAAGUUUCUUAAUUGGUUACCAGCUUUAUGGUGGAGUCCUUGGAAGAACAGGG
rnacentral:lncRNA from 1 species